CCUACGGGUGGCAGCAGUGGGGAAUAUUGGACAAUGGGCGAAAGCCUGAUCCAGCCAUGCCGCGUGUGUGAAGAAGGCCUUCGGGUUGUAAAGCACUUUCAGUGGGGAAGAAAGCCUUGGGGCUAAUACCCUCGAGGAAGGACAUCACCCACAGAAGAAGCACCGGCUAACUCCGUGCCAGCAGCCGCGGUAAUACGGAGGGUGCGAGCGUUAAUCGGAAUUACGGGGCGUAAAGCGCGCGUAGGCGGUCUGAUAAGCCGGUUGUGAAAGCCCCGGGCUCAACCUGGGAACGGCAUCCGGAACGGUCAGGCUAGAGUGCAGGAGAGGAAGGUAGAAUUCCCGGUGUAGCGGUGAAAUGCGUAGAGAUCGGGAGGAAUACCAGUGGCGAAGGCGGCCUUCUGGACUGACACUGACGCUGAGGUGCGAAAGCGUGGGUAGCAAACAGGAUUAGAUACCCUAGUAGUC
rnacentral:rRNA from 1 species